CAGUCGCCGCGGUAAUACGAAGGGGGCUAGCGUUGCUCGGAAUGACUGGGCGUAAAGGGCGCGUAGGCGGAUCACGCAGUCAGAUGUGAAAUUCCUGGGCUUAACCUGGGGGCUGCAUUUGAGACGCGUGGUCUAGAGUGUGAAAGAGGGUCGUGGAAUUCCCAGUGUAGAGGUGAAAUUCGUAGAUAUUGGGAAGAACACCGGUGGCGAAGGCGGCGACCUGGUUCAUGACUGACGCUGAGGCGCGAAAGCGUGGGGAGCAAACAGGAUUAGAUACCCCGGUAGUCCCUGUCUCUUAUAC
rnacentral:rRNA from 1 species